rnacentral:rRNA from 1 species
AGCAGCCGCGGUAAUUCCAGCUCCAAUAGCGUAUAUUAAAGUUGUUGCAGUUAAAAAGCUCGUAGUUGAAUUUCGGGGUCAGUAGGUUGGUCAUGCCUUCGGUAUGUACUGGUCUCACUGACUCCUCCUUCCUGAUGAACUGUAAUGCCAUUAAUUUGGUGUUGCGGGGAAACUGGACUGUUACUUUGAAAAAAUUGAGUGUUUAAAGCAAGCUAACGCUUGAAUACAUUAGCAUGGAAUAAUGAAAUAGGACGUUCGAUCCUAUUUUGUUGGUUUCUAGGAUUGACGUAAUGAUUAAUAGGGAUAGGUUGGGGGCAUUAGUAUUCAAUUGUCAGAGGUGAAAUUCUUGGAUUUAUUGAAGACUAACUACUGCGAAAGCGUUUGCCAAGGA